rnacentral:rRNA from 1 species
UACAUAUGGGGCAAGCGUUGUCCGGAUUUAUUGGGCGUAAAGAGCGUGUAGGCGGCCAUACAGGUCCGUUGUGAAAACUGGAGGCUUAACCUCCAGACGUCGAUGGAAACCGUAUGGCUAGAGUCCGGAAGAGGAGAGUGGAAUUCCUGGUGUAGCGGUGAAAUGCGCAGAUAUCAGGAAGAACACCCGUGGCGAAGGCGGCUCUCUGGGACGGUACUGACGCUGAGACGCGAAAGCGUGGGGAGCGAACAGG